AUUGAACGCUGGCGGCAGGCCUAACACAUGCAAGUCGAACGAGUGGCGGACGGGUGAGUAAUGUCUGGGAAACUGCCUGAUGGAGGGGGAUAACUACUGGAAACGGUAGCUAAUACCGCAUACCAUCAGAUGUGCCCAGAUGGGAUGAGCUAGUUGGUGGGGUAACGGCUCACCAAGGCGACGAUCCCUAGCUGGUCUGAGAGGAUGACCCUCCACUGUGGACCUUGUACACGGUCCCAACCCCUUCUGUAGGCAGCAUUGGGGAAUUUUGCACAAUUGGCGCAAUCCUGAUGCAGCCCUGCCUCGUGUGUGACACAGGCCUUCGGGUUGUAAAGUCCUUUCAGCGGGGAGGCGUUACCCGCAGAAGAAGCCCCGGCUAACUCCGUGCCAGCAGCCGCGGUAAUUC
rnacentral:rRNA from 1 species